rnacentral:piRNA from 1 species
UUCAUUUGUACCAUUAAUUUGGGUCUCUGA